GAUGAACGCUAGCUACAGGCUUAACACAUGCAAGUCGAGGGGCAGCGGGGAUCUAGCUUGCUAGAUUUGCCGGCGACCGGCGCACGGGUGAGUAACACGUAUCCAACCUGGCCCAUACUCGGGUAUAGCCUCUCGAAAGGGAGAUUAAUCGCCGAUGUUGUUGUUUCACCGCAUGGUGUUGCAACCAAAGAAUUUCGGUAUGGGAUGGGGAUGCGUUCCAUUAGCUUGUUGGCGGGGUAACGGCCCACCAAGGCGACGAUGGAUAGGGGUUCUGAGAGGAAGGUCCCCCACACUGGAACUGAGACACGGUCCAGACUCCUACGGGAGGCAGCAGUGAGGAAUAUUGGUCAAUGGGCGAGAGCCUGAACCAGCCAAGUAGCGUGAAGGAUGACUGCCCUACGGGUUGUAAACUUCUUUUGUUUGGGAAUAAAGUUCAGCACGUGUGCUGUUUUGUAUGUACCAUUCGAAUAAGCAUCGGCUAAUUCCGUGCCAGCCGCCGCGGUAAAAC
rnacentral:rRNA from 1 species